UUGGUGGAGCAUGUGGUUUAAUUCGAUGCAACGCGAAGAACCUUACCUACUCUUGACAUCCACAGAAUUCGGCAGAGAUGCCUUAGUGCCUUCGGGAACUGUGAGACAGGUGCUGCAUGGCUGUCGUCAGCUCGUGUUGUGAAAUGUUGGGUUAAGUCCCGCAACGAGCGCAACCCUUAUCCUUUGUUGCCAGCACGUAAUGGUGGGAACUCAAAGGAGACUGCCGGUGAUAAACCGGAGGAAGGUGGGGAUGACGUCAAGUCAUCAUGGCCCUUACGAGUAGGGCUACACACGUGCUACAAUGGCGUAUACAAAGAGAAGCGAACUCGCGAGAGCCAGCGGACCUCAUAAAGUACGUCGUAGUCCGGAUCGGAGUCUGCAACUCGACUCNNGAAGUNGGAAUCGC
rnacentral:rRNA from 1 species